GCCUUUCCUACUAACUAUCCCAUGGUCAACGCUCCUUAUCACUCCAAUCUUCAACCUCGCUCUGAUACCACUUAAACUGGGAUGUCACGCCCCGAUCCUCAGGCACGUGCACAUCCUUCUAUUUGGUCGAUUUUAAUAUGCGAUAUCCCAGGACAAUGUAUCGCCGACCCUUUCAAUUAUUAAGCACAUGCGGAAGUAGUUAAAAUCCCCAGACAAUAAAACGAUGGGAUAGAAAAGCAGGGCCAUAUUUUUCAUAUUGAAAUUUAUAACCACACUUUUAUACAAACCACAAACCCUUUCAUAACUAUUCACAUCAAAACGGAGAUUUCAAAAGAAGACAUAAACUUAGACGAACUAGGCCGUACUCAAGGCCCCUCUCAGGAUUGCCUUCUUCCUCCAAAAUCUUUUUCCUUAAGAUUCGCCUCCGAGUCUUCCUUCUCGGAUUCCUCCUUCUCAGCUUUUCAGCGAGGUCCUGAAAUGGUUUUCCCCAAACUGGGAUGAGACUACGUCUCAGCGAGUUCUACCCCACUAAGCCCGAUUAGAUAAACUAUUAUACUACAGGCUGCCUAAACACGCACAGGGCAGAGGACUUACCUUGGCCUCUGAUCCCACCUGCAAGUCAGUACAAUUCAUAAUAGGCACCCAAGCAAUCAUAUCACCGAUCGAAGCAUCGAUCAAAUCGACCUAAUCGAUUAUAUUCCAACAAAACCACUCACGGUCAUUUCCAUUCAGGCAAUCAAUUCACCACAUCAAAUCAAAGCAUCGACCUAGUCGAUUACAUGCCAAACAAAUCAAUCCCCACUGUGGGAUAUUUAAAAGCUAGGCCACGUGCAUUCUCCAGGAUGACCUUCCAAGUCUCCGAGUCCACGUGCCUCAAACCUCGGACCCACGUGCAUUCUCUAAGGCGACCUCUUCGCCAAGGUGGUACAUCAAGCCACCGAGCCACGUGUCCUUUUUACGAUGCCCAGGCCCACGUGCAUUCUCUAAGGUGCUAUCUCACCAAGGUGAUGCAUCAAUUCACCGAGCCACGUGCCCUUUUAGAUGCCAUUCCGGAAUGCUG
rnacentral:lncRNA from 1 species